UACGGAGGGGGCUAGCGUUGUUCGGAAUUACUGGGCGUAAAGCGCACGUAGGCGGCUUUGUAAGUUAGAGGUGAAAGCCCGGAGCUCAACUCCGGAAUUGCCUUUAAGACUGCAUCGCUUGAACAUCGGAGAGGUGAGUGGAAUUCCGAGUGUAGAGGUGAAAUUCGUAGAUAUUCGGAAGAACACCAGUGGCGAAGGCGGCUUACUGGUCCAUAACUGACGCUGAGGUGCGAAAGCGUGGGGAGCAAACAGG
rnacentral:rRNA from 1 species